UACGUAGGGACCAAGCGUUGUUCGGAUUUACUGGGCGUAAAGGGCGCGUAGGCGGCGCUGUAAGUCACUUGUGAAAUCUCUGAGCUUAACUCGGAACGGUCAAGUGAUACUGCAGUGCUAGAGUGCGGAAGGGGCAAUCGGAAUUCUUGGUGUAGCGGUGAAAUGCGUAGAUAUCAAGAGGAACACCUGAGGUGAAGACGGGUUGCUGGGCCGACACUGACGCUGACAGCGCGAAAGCCAGGGGAGCAAACGGG
rnacentral:rRNA from 1 species